CUCAUUACUUCCCAGUAUCUGAUUGGGAGAAGCUGACCAGAAUUUUAACAGAAUCAUGAGAGCACUACAAUGAGCUUCAUGCUGCAAUGAACCUGUGGUCUAAGGCUGCCACACAGCACAUCAUGACCCACUGGCCUGCUACUGGUCAUGUCAAAUGUUCCAUAGAGCCCUGAGGGAGACUGGUUUGAGCCAUCCAGGAAGCAGUGACUGUAGAAACUGCACUGAGCCUGGAGCCAGAUGUCAUGCAGUCUAAGAUAGCUGAAGUUUGUUGUGCUGCCUCUCUGUCAACGGAAGAGAACCUCCUCAAUCACAGAGCCUUCAAAAUUUGACCCUGGCCUACUGCUCUGUGGAUUGUCUGGUUUCAUACAUAGGCUGUUCUUGGGUCAUUGUUUACAUUCACAUUUGAGGUAAAAUCCACUAGAGAUGAUCACUGGAAAAAGAAAUUCACAGAAGAUGAAUUGAGAAAAUGAGGUGCCUGUGGUGAAAUUCUGGGUAAAAGCACAAAAUUAACUGUCA